rnacentral:lncRNA from 1 species
UGCAGGAAAAUGAAAGAAACAUACCAGUGUGUCCUUGGGCAAUUGACGGUCUUAGGAGACUGCAAUCAAGGUGUCAUCCAGGCCUGAGAUCUCAUUUGAAAGCUCAAUGGCGGAAGGAUCUCCUUACUAGCUAAUGUGAUU